ensembl:lincRNA
CUGGAAUUAAUGUGGGUUACAGAGUCUGUCCUCAGGCGGCCUUCCCCCACCUUCCCAGGCCUUGAAACCGUCUUCCGCCCUCCAAUUUGAAAGGUUGGGCCGAGGCAGGCAAUGUCCAGGAUGGCCACAAGGGGGCGCGGGAGCACUGAAUAAUCCCUUCAAUCCAGCCUUCUCCGGAGCCCUCCUUCCCUGAUUCCGAAAUAUCUAAUAAGCACCCAUUCUCUGCCAGGAUCUCAUUUAAUCCUCACAACAGCCUGGGAGUAGAUCGUUAUUACCAUGGCUGUGCAGCUGCCAGAGCCACCUCGGAGAGUGGAAAGCACCUCCGUUUCGCCACCAGUAGACCUGAAUUCCAGCACUGGCCUAUUGUCUCUGAGCUGUGUGAUGGAAUCUUUGAGCCAACAGGUCCUCAUGAUCACAUGUGGCUGGCCCUCCCUAGCCCCCCACCUCCGGGCUGGCUUUGAGCCUUAGAGGUGUUUUAUCUUGUGUGAGGAAAAUGGAGCAUGGAGAUACCACCCAAAUGGCAGCCGCGAGAGGACUCUGCUCAAAGUGCUCUUCCUGGGGGGUCUCGCGGGCACAUAUGUGUGCCAUUUGCCCUGUAUUGUUCUAUAAUCCUUGAUGGUUGCUCUGUAAUUGCUCUCACAUGGUUUCUUCAUAAUAAAUAGCAUCUGCAGAGAAGUUCACGGUUUAC